rnacentral:lncRNA from 1 species
AAGUAUAUUCUAGAUGGAGCUUGAUUGAGUAUUUGAUGGUCUUGAUUUGGAAUUAACUUUAGGUUUUACAAGAAAAUAAGAAUUAUUAUAGGGUCCAUUCAAGAAAAGUUCCUUCAUCGCUGGCAUGUCUCGUAACAAAAGAUGAUUGGUGCAAUUCAUGGACUUGGUGCAAUGCAUGGAAGAUAUUUGUUUUUAAAGUGCUAACCACCAGGAUAUCCAAUACAUUCUCGGAAGAAGUACCAGCGAAUCACAAGUAGAAUGAUGUAGUUGGGGCUUCAAUAUUUUAUUUUAUUUUAUUUUAUUUUGCGUACAUGCUUAUUUUACAUCCAACAGCUCUCAAAUACCG